GGGAAGUCACAAGCACACUGCUUCUCUUUUUCCUUAAGUGAAAUGGAGAGAUGUUGGCUGAACAGAGUGUUCCAUUUUCUAAAUAGAAUGCUUUGUUUGGCCAGGCCAGAUAGGACUUAAAGACGGGUAUUCAAUUGCAUCUAAAAGAAAGAAAAAUGAAAAUCUAAGCAUCAACUGAACACGGUGGGACUUUCUUCUUCUAUAAACUACUUACUCUCACUAUACUCUUUGAUUUGAUGGCAGAUGUCUUCAAAAAUUACUGAAAAUACUGCGGGAUUGUAUUUAAGCUUUGGAUUUGGAAGGUGGACAGCUGCUCCUGGCAAGAAUCAGACUCUCAUAAUGACUCUGACUCUGCACCUCGGCUAGCAUCAAGAACCGUAUUUGUCUGUCCAGGAAAUGACAGAUCCUGGGACGCCCCUCUCUGCAGGGAAGGCCUGGGUAGCUGAGCAUGUAACCCUGACUAAAACCCACAUCAGGGCCAACUGAGUGCCUGUGUGAAACAGGCCAAUGCGCCCAGAAGGACCCACAGCUGCAGGACCUGGCACCGGUGUUCUAAAGGAGCCUCCAGUACCAGCUGUGUGACCCCAGACAAGCCACAGAACCUCCUGGGUCUCUGUUCACUCAUCUGUGAAGCUGAGAACAUGACACUUUCCAUGACUAAUAAAC
rnacentral:lncRNA from 1 species